UGCUUCCGUCUUUGUAUAAUAAAAUCCGUCAUGGAAUCUUAACAAGCUUGCCCCACUGCACUACCAAUUUCUCAGUAGCCAAUUCUGAGUUUGCGUUCACUUUCAGGCAUUUUAUCUGCCCUGCUCUGAGAGGUAUUAUUAAUCACAUCCUGUUGCUAGGAUACCUGAGAAUGUUCAUUUAUGUCCAAUGUUUCUUUGGCAAAAUGCACUAUGAAGAAGGCAUAGAAUCAUGACAAGGAAAAUUACUGUGCACAUGCUACUUAUUAAAAAAAGGGGAAGGAAUAACAUAAUCACCAGAUAAUAUAACGCUAACUCCCAUAAAUUGUUGAACGUCAUUUUUGUUUCACCUGGAUUUUAAUGGAAAAACACUGGCAAUAUUUUUGGAUAAUGAGAAUGUGUAGCACUUCCUGACUCCUGAGUUAACUAGAAAAAGUAGAAGGAGGUCCAAGAAUGUGUUAACUAAUAGAACACAGCAGAAAUUUUGCCAAUUUCUAGGAUUGGGCCUUGAGAAUCAGGCAGCUUCUACCUCUUAAGACUACAAAAACUUGCUCUGGGAGAAGCCAGACACAAUGUACAGAGUCAGACUACUCUGAGACCACCAUGCCAUAAGGAAGCUCAAGCUACCACACAUGGAGGCCACACAGAAAGAGAGCUGCCUGAAUAGCACAUGAUCAGCUCCCAGCUGUUCCAACCAUCCCAACUGGCAUCCCCAUUCCAGAAUGUGCAAAUCAAGUAACUACCUUUGAAGUGGAUUCUCCAACUCAAGCCACCUCAGCAAAUGCCAUAUGGAUUAGAGACAAACUGCCCAGUAUUACAAUGUUACCCUGUGUCCAGGUUAUUGAUCAAUACUACAGAGGAGACUUGCCAAUGAUCCAGCACAUCAGAAUUUAUAAACCAUCAACUGGGGUACCCAUUUGAAACAACAACAUAUAAAUAUUCAUCUAUGCUUCAAAAACUUUA